rnacentral:rRNA from 1 species
GAACGGAGAAUUUCAAGAAGUUUACUUUGAGAAAUUUUUAGUGGCGGACGGGUGAGUAACGCGUGGGUAACCUACCCAUAAACCCAGGACAACCCUUGGAAACGAGGGCUAAUACCGGAUAAUCUUUUUGCUUGGCAUCAAGCGUUAAGAAAAGGUGGCCUCUGAAAAUGCUACCGAUUAUGGAUGGACCCGCGUCUGAUUAGCUAGUUGGUGGGGUAAAGGCCUACCAAGGCGACGAUCAGUAGCCGGCCUGAGAGGGUGAACGGCCACACUGGGACUGAGACACGGCCCAGACUCCUACGGGAGGCAGCAGUGGGGAAUCUUCCGCAAUGGACGAAAGUCUGACGGAGCAACGCCGCGUGUAUGAUGAAGGUCUUCGGAUUGUAAAGUACUGUCUUUGGGGAAGAAUGACUGAUUUGAAAAUAUUGAGUCAGUAUGACGGUACCCAAGGAGGAAGCCCCGGCUAACUACGUGCCAGCAGCCGCGGUAAUACGUAGGGGGCAAGCGUUGUCCGGAAUUAUUGGGCGUAAAGGGCGCGUAGGCGGAUAGUUAAGUCCGGUGUGAAAGAUCAGGGCUCAACCCUGAGAGUGCAUCGGAAACUGGUUAUCUUGAGGACAGGAGAGGAAAGUGGAAUUCCUAGUGUAGCGGUGAAAUGCGUAGAUAUUAGGAGGAACACCAGUGGCGAAGGCGACUUUCUGGACUGUAACUGACGCUGAGGCGCGAAAGCGUGGGGAGCAAACAGGAUUAGAUACCUGUAGUCCACGCUGUAACGAUGAGUGCUAGGUGUAGAGGGUAUCGACCCCUUCUGUGCCGCAGUUAACACAAUAAGCACUCCGCCUGGGGAGUACGGCCGCAAGGUUGAACUCAAAGGAAUUGACGGGGGCCCGCACAAGCGGUGGAGCAUGUGGUUUAAUUCGACGCAACGCGAAGAACCUUACCAGGGCUUGACAUCUACAGAAUCCUUGGGAAACCAAGGAGUGCCCUUCGGGAGCUGUAAGACAGGUGGUGCAUGGUUGUCGUCAGCUCGUGUCGUGAGAUGUUGGGUUAAGUCCCGCAACGAGCGCAACCCCUGUGUUUAGUUGCUAACGAGUAAUGUCGAGCACUCUAGACAGACUGCCGGUGAUAAACCGGAGGAAGGUGGGGAUGACGUCAAAUCAUCAUGCCCCUUAUGUUCUGGGCUACACACGUGCUACAAUGGCCAGUACAGACGGAAGCGAAGCCGCGAGGUGGAGCAAAUCCGAGAAAGCUGGUCUCAGUUCGGAUUGCAGGCUGCAACUCGCCUGCAUGAAGUCGGAAUCGCUAGU